ACAUGCAAGUCGAACGGUAACAUAAAGAAGCUUGCUUCUUUGAUGACGAGUGGCGGACGGGUGAGUAAUGCUUGGGAAUCUAGCUUAUGGAGGGGGAUAACUACGGGAAACUGUAGCUAAUACCGCGUAGAAUCGAGAGAUGAAAGUGUGGGACCUUCGGGCCACAUGCCAUAGGAUGAGCCCAAGUGGGAUUAGGUAGUUGGUGAGGUAAAGGCUCACCAAGCCGACGAUCUCUAGCUGGUCUGAGAGGAUGACCAGCCACACUGGGACUGAGACACGGCCCAGACUCCUACGGGAGGCAGCAGUGGGGAAUAUUGCGCAAUGGGGGCAACCCUGACGCAGCCAUGCCGCGUGAAUGAAGAAGGCCUUCGGGUUGUAAAGUUCUUUCGGUAGCGAGGAAGGCAUUUAGUUUAAUAAACUAGGUGAUUGACGUUAACUACAGAAGAAGCACCGGCUAACUCCGUGCCAGCAGCCGCGGU
rnacentral:rRNA from 1 species